GGGGGAAUGGGGUAAACUGGUAGCCUUGUAGCUUCGGGGGCUAUAGACCUGGAUUCGAAUUCCAGUUCCCUCA
rnacentral:tRNA from 1 species